rnacentral:rRNA from 1 species
GAUGAACGUUGGCGGCGUGCCUAAUACAUGCAAGUCGAACGAAGACUGUAGUAAUACUGUCUUAGUGGCGAACGGGUGAGUAACGCGUGGGUGACCUGCCCCGAAGUGUGGGAUAACAGUCCGAAAGGAUUGCUAAUACUGCAUAAUAUCCAAGAGAUUAGAUGCUUUUUGGAUUAAAGGAGUAAUUCGCUUCGGGAGGGGCCCGCGUCCCAUCAGCUAGUUGGUAAGGUAAUGGCUUACCAAGGCGAUGACGGGUAGGGGACCUGAGAGGGUGGCCCCCCACAAUGGAACUGAAACACGGUCCAUACACCUACGGGUGGCAGCAGUAGGGAAUAUUAGUAAUGGGCGAAAGCCUGAACUAGCAACGCCGCGUGUGCGAAGAAGGCCUUCGGGUCGUAAAGCUACUUUUUGAGAGGAUGAGGAAGGACGGUACUCUCAGAAUAAGUCUCGGCUAACUACGUGCCAGCAGCCGCGGUAAAUAGUCUAACG